rnacentral:rRNA from 1 species
UACGUAGGUGGCUAGCGUUGUCCGGAUUUACUGGGCGUAAAGAGCGCGCAGGCGGUCGUUCAAGUCGAGGGUGAAAGCCCCCGGCUCAACUGGGGAGGGUCACUCGAUACUGAUCGACUCGAAGGCAGGAGAGGGAAGCGGAAUUCCCGGUGUAGUGGUGAAAUGCGCAGAUAUCAGGAAGAACACCCGUGGCGAAGGCGGUUCUCUGGGACGGUACUGACGCUGAGACGCGAAAGCGUGGGGAGCGAACAGG